UACAGCCAUAUUACAUUGAAACACCGUUUCUCAUACAAUCACCCAAGUUAAGCAACAUCGAGCCUAGCCAGUACCUAGAUGGGGGACCACUUAGGAAGACCAGGUGCUGUAUG